rnacentral:rRNA from 1 species
UACGUAGGGGACAAGCGUUGUCCGGAAUCAUUGGGCGUAAAGCGCGCGUAGGCGGCCCGGUAAGUCCGCUGUAAAAGUCCAGGGCUCAACCCUGGAAAGCCGGUGGAUACUGUCGGGCUAGAGUCCGGAAGAGGCGAGUGGAAUUCCCGGUGGAGCGGUGAAAUGCGUAGAGAUCGGGAAGAACGCCGGCGGCGAAAGCGACUCACUGGUCGGAAUCUGACGCUGAGGUGCGAAAGCUAGGGGAGCAAACGGG